CCAUCCUUCUCCUAGUAAUUUUUUAAGGUAAUAAAUUUCCACUUCUUUUAAUAAUUCAUUUUCACCUGAGCAGACUCGAGGUGGGCUUUAACUUUCUCCCAGUGGCUGGUAAGAAGCCUGUAAACCACACCGUUUAAAACCACCCGUGCUCGUAUGUCUGCCCUCAGACUCCUUUGCUGCCUAGGAUUUGCUCGCUUGGCUGGUUGGCUCCGGCUGUCAGUGAAGCGGUGGCUUUAAGAGCUGCAUCCUUUCCCCACGCCGUGCCUUUGGGGUUGCACUCUCCCUCCCCCAGAUCUUAGAUUCCCUCUCUGCAGGAUGUCAGCUGCCCUCCUUGUCUCUUCCCUUCAGUGGGAUGGCUUCCUCUGCUCUUACUGUGAUAAGAGUUUGUUUUCUUCUCCAACAUACCCUGGGCGACUACUGCUCUCUGCAUUUUUCUGCUUUGAUACCUGCAUUUAUGUUCCGAUUUCUCUCUCUCUCCUGGGGCCAUACUGCUUUACUUUUCCCACCCAAAGCAGCUCUGCAACAAAGACAGGUAUAACUAAUAGCACCGGGCUCCAUCAGUGAAGCAGAGUUCAAUUUACCCUUUGCAGAGAUGGUACAAAAUCGGGCACAGGCAAGAAACGUUGGGCUAAGAUUUAUGUAGGACUGUUUGUCUAAAUGAGUCCCCUACUUCCUUAUUUCCACGGAGCAAGGAAGCUGCAGACAUCUGCUCUGUGCCUGAUACCACCUUCAAUUCCACCAGAAGAAACUUUCCCCAAGAUACAGAAGCAGGUGAGGCUUUUGGUAUCAGUGGCUCUGUUUCCAUCAAGGAGAUAGAUGCAGGGUGUGGGUUUGAUCUGCAGCUCCUGGCUGCAAGCAGCCUACGUGUGCAGUAGAAAUCCAUUGCUCCAGGCACCACCUGCUCUCCAAAGAGAGAGAGACACAGAGCUUGAAUUCAGCCCUCUCUGAGGCUACCUGCUGUGGCCACGGGGACAGAGGAGCGCUUGCUUUGCUCAGGCACAGCGUGUUUCAACAGCCCCUCGUCCUCCUCGGAGAGAAACCCUGCUGUUCUCUCCACUGCUACUUUUGUGCAGGUCUGAUAUGAGGUUAGACGCUUCUCUUGUCCGAGCUGUGGCAGCCCUGUCUCCUGCAGGAUGGUGGGUAGCUGCCGGAGAACAAGCUCCAGGGCAAGCUGCCUGUCUACAAGACACACUCUAAAUUUGGGGGCUGAAGGAAGACUCCAGCAAGCUGCAGACACGCAGAAAGUCUUCUAUGUCCAGGCUGCAGUUAGAGAGAAAUCCACUUUUAUGCCUGAAAGUUACAUGGUUUAUGGCUUUUGAAACGUGUGCUAAGGCUCUUGUGUGUCACAUGCAAGGCCUUGCACGGCCCCAGCACCUCGCUGUGCAGAUAGUCCUGACUUCAGAUGGAAAGGGAUGUCAAAACUAAUGAAAAAUAGGCUGACUUUAUACUAGCCCUGUAACAAAAUAAAUUGAGGGGAAUGUGUUAACUUUUGUUUUACUUAACUUUGCCAACUUUCAAGUCAGCUCUCAAGCACCCAGAAGGUUUUAGAAAAUGUUUAAUCUAGCUCAGACAAUUUCCUGAACUCCCUAACUGGACCACCCCAUUUUCUGACAUGCUGCCAAAAGGCCCUAGUUACUCACAGGCUCUAGUGUGCUGCUCUUUCACAACUUCUUGCUGUCCUCUCACCCCCACCCUCAAGCCGUUGUGCGUGCCUUAAUAUAGUCCAGAAAGAGGAACCUCCUAGACCUCGCUGUCAAUGCCUGGUGAAGCAAGCCCUGCUGGUAGCCACCAAUGUGCCUGGCAAAUGGCUGCCCCAGCAUGCUCCAAGGCUGUGUACAGUGUGAGUGUCAGUGCACCGCCUGCCUGCUCCAGGGGUGCCCUGCCCACCCUCCCAGGUCACCUCUGCCCAUAGUGUCAGGCUUUGAGCUCUGCAUCUCUGCCUAAAGAACCCAGAGAUGCUCCCUGUUGUGGUCACACAGAAUGAUCACGGAGGAUGUGAUCAUACAGGAUGCUUUUUUUCAUACUGACUUAUACUCUAGGUUUUCUGUCCUCAUGCUCCUGAAGCCAAACCCUGUGUUUGGCAAAAAACAGCAGGGAAUGUAUCUCAGGGUCAUGGCACGAAUAGAAUGAUGACUGUCACCUCUCUCUCAUCUUCCUCACUACUACAUGUUGCCUGUGCAGCUACCCCAGAGCGGGGAGUGAGGAGGAGCACACAGGGCACAUGGGGAUGCUAUGCUGAUGUCAGCCUUCAAAGAUGCAACUUUCAGACCUUAACAGUUACUUAUUUUUCUAACAGAGCUGGAGUUUCAACAAAGCCACAGCUCACUGGGGUUUUAGUCACUCUCCCACUCAGCAGUGCUUGCUGUUUGGGGGCUUAUCACCAUGUGAUAAAAGUUUCCUCCUGAAACUUAGUUUCCUGCUCUUUUUGUGUGCUUCCCUUCAUUGUCCACCCACACCACUGGCUCCAAAUAAGUGCAGAGAGUUCCCUAGAGCUCUCCACCACCUACUCAUCACCCCUGCUGUCCUUCCUCACCUGCCCACUUGCACUGUCUGCUCUUGGUCACAGUGGACGUGGGAGAAUGGGGAAAACUGGCUGGGCUUUUGCAGAGAUUUGUGGAGGGAUCUGUUCUUUCUUUCCCCAGACCUAACUGGCCCACCUCGCAGACUUUUACUGGAAGAGAUAUCACUCAGCCACAAACAUAAUUGAAAUAAGAAGUCAGGAGGAAGAAAAAGGCAGCAGCUUAAAAAAAGCAUAGUGAAGAGUUAUAGUGCUGGGCUCACACAUCUUACUGCAGCUUCUUGCUGGCUUAAACUGGCAGAGGAGUCAUCAGAAGUCCACGAGAUAGAGACACCGCUUGUAAAAGGCUUGGGUUUAACCCCUAAGUUCACCAGCCACUUAUCCAGGACCUGCGGCCAGAAACCUGUCUCCUCUCCUUUUACUGGGGGCCGUCUCUUUCCUGGCUUUUGUACAUCCCACUGGCCCACAGUGAUCGCUGUGAAGAUCAGCCAGCACCUUUGGGGUCCCCAGCUGUCAUGCUGGGACACUUAGGAGAAACGGGAGCGGGGAUAUUUUGGCCACUGGCUGUGACAGGACACAUCUCCAGGAGUUUACAUGUUAACAUCUGUACCAGGAAAUCCUCUCUCUCGGUGUCAGAGGGUUAGACAAAUACCUGAUAAAGAAAUAAAGCUGUCAAAUAAAUUUACUUUACAGAAAGACUGA